rnacentral:rRNA from 1 species
ACUGAAACAUCUUAGUACCCGGAGGAAGAGAAAGAAAAUUCGAUUCCCUUAGUAGCGGCGAGAGAAACGGGAAGAGCCCAAACCAACAAGCUUGCUUGUUGGGGUUGUAGGACACUCUAUACGGAGUUACAAAGGACGACAUUAGACGAAUCAUCUGGAAAGAUGAAUCAAAGAAGGUAAUAAUCCUGUAGUCGAAAAUGUUGUCUCUCUUGAGUGGAUCCUGAGUACGACGGAGCACGUGAAAUUCCGUCGGAAUCUGGGAGGACCAUCUCCUAAGGCUAAAUACUCUCUAGUGACCGAUAGUGAACCAGUACCGUGAGGGAAAGGUGAAAAGCACCCCGGAAGGGGAGUGAAAUAGAACCUGAAACCGUGUGCUUACAAGUAGUCAGAGCCCGUUAAUGGGUGAUGGCGUGCCUUUUGUAGAAUGAACCGGCGAGUUACGAUUUGAUGCAAGGUUAAGCAGUAAAUGUGGAGCCGUAGCGAAAGCGAGUCUGAAUAGGGCGUUUAGUAUUUGGUCGUAGACCCGAAACCAGGUGAUCUACCCUUGGUCAGGUUGAAGUUCAGGUAACACUGAAUGGAGGACCGAACCGACUUACGUUGAAAAGUGAGCGGAUGAACUGAGGGUAGCGGAGAAAUUCCAAUCGAACCUGGAGAUAGCUGGUUCUCUCCGAAAUAGCUUUAGGGCUAGCCUCAAGUGAUGAUUAUUGGAGGUAGAGCACUGUUUGGACGAGGGGCCCCUCUCGGGUUACCGAAUUCAGACAAACUCCGAAUGCCAAUUAAUUUAACUUGGGAGUCAGAACAUGGGUGAUAAGGUCCGUGUUCGAAAGGGAAACAGCCCAGACCACCAGCUAAGGUCCCAAAAUAUAUGUUAAGUGGAAAAGGAUGUGGCGUUGCCCAGACAACUAGGAUGUUGGCUUAGAAGCAGCCAUCAUUUAAAGAGUGCGUAAUAGCUCACUAGUCGAGUGACACUGCGCCGAAAAUGUACCGGGGCUAAACAUAUUACCGAAGCUGUGGAUUGUCCUUUGGACAAUGGUAGGAGAGCGUUCUAAGGGCGUUGAAGCAUGAUCGUAAGGACAUGUGGAGCGCUUAGAAGUGAGAAUGCCGGUGUGAGUAGCGAAAGACGGGUGAGAAUCCCGUCCACCGAUUGACUAAGGUUUCCAGAGGAAGGCUCGUCCGCUCUGGGUUAGUCGGGUCCUAAGCUGAGGCCGACAGGCGUAGGCGAUGGAUAACAGGUUGAUAUUCCUGUACCACCUAUAAUCGUUUUAAUCGAUGGGGGGACGCAGUAGGAUAGGCGAAGCGUGCGAUUGGAUUGCACGUCUAAGCAGUAAGGCUGAGUAUUAGGCAAAUCCGGUACUCGUUAAGGCUGAGCUGUGAUGGGGAGAAGACAUUGUGUCUUCGAGUCGUUGAUUUCACACUGCCGAGAAAAGCCUCUAGAUAGAAAAUAGGUGCCCGUACCGCAAACCGACACAGGUAGUCAAGAUGAGAAUUCUAAGGUGAGCGAGCGAACUCUCGUUAAGGAACUCGGCAAAAUGACCCCGUAACUUCGGGAGAAGGGGUGCUCUUUAGGGUUAACGCCCAGAAGAGCCGCAGUGAAUAGGCCCAAGCGACUGUUUAUCAAAAACACAGGUCUCUGCUAAACCGUAAGGUGAUGUAUAGGGGCUGACGCCUGCCCGGUGCUGGAAGGUUAAGAGGAGUGGUUAGCUUCUGCGAAGCUACGAAUCGAAGCCCCAGUAAACGGCGGCCGUAACUAUAACGGUCCUAAGGUAGCGAAAUUCCUUGUCGGGUAAGUUCCGACCCGCACGAAAGGCGUAACGAUUUGGGCACUGUCUCAACGAGAGACUCGGUGAAAUCAUAGUACCUGUGAAGAUGCAGGUUACCCGCGACAGGACGGAAAGACCCCGUGGAGCUUUACUGUAGCCUGAUAUUGAAAUUCGGCACAGCUUGUACAGGAUAGGUAGGAGCCUUUGAAACGUGAGCGCUAGCUUACGUGGAGGCGCUGGUGGGAUACUACCCUAGCUGUGUUGGCUUUCUAACCCGCACCACUUAUCGUGGUGGGAGACAGUGUCAGGCGGGCAGUUUGACUGGGGCGGUCGCCUCCUAAAAGGUAACGGAGGCGCUCAAAGGUUCCCUCAGAAUGGUUGGAAAUCAUUCAUAGAGUGUAAAGGCAUAAGGGAGCUUGACUGCGAGACCUACAAGUCGAGCAGGGUCGAAAGACGGACUUAGUGAUCCGGUGGUUCCGCAUGGAAGGGCCAUCGCUCAACGGAUAAAAGCUACCCCGGGGAUAACAGGCUUAUCUCCCCCAAGAGUUCACAUCGACGGGGAGGUUUGGCACCUCGAUGUCGGCUCAUCGCAUCCUGGGGCUGUAGUCGGUCCCAAGGGUUGGGCUGUUCGCCCAUUAAAGCGGUACGCGAGCUGGGUUCAGAACGUCGUGAGACAGUUCGGUCCCUAUCCGUCGUGGGCGUAGGAAAUUUGAGAGGAGCUGUCCUUAGUACGAGAGGACCGGGAUGGACAUACCUCUGGUGUACCAGUUGUCGUGCCAACGGCAUAGCUGGGUAGCUAUGUGUGGACGGGAUAAGUGCUGAAAGCAUCUAAGCAUGAAGCCCCCCUCAAGAUGAGAUUUCCCAACUUCGGUUAUAAGAUCCCUCAAAGAUGAUGAGGUUAAUAGGUUCGAGGUGGAAGCAUGGUGACAUGUGGAGCUGACGAAUACUAAUCGAUCGAAGACUUAAUCAA